rnacentral:lncRNA from 1 species
UGACCAUUAAGUAUGAAGGAAAAAACAUGACUUUCCCAAUUAAUGCAACUACUUCUAAAGAAUAAACCUGUUUGCUCUAAAUGCAAUGAUUCAGCUGUGGAACGUAAAUUGUUAAUGUUUAAUGAAAAACCCCCUGCAGGAAAAACAGUCAAGGAAGUUUUUGAGAAAUUAAAUUAAAAUCUAGAGAAGAAGAAUUAAUGUUAAGAAGACAGAUUAGUGCUUAGUACUGGGCAACUUGUUCUUGUUCCUGUGCACAAUAGUUUGGUGCUCUUGCUCUUGUUUGAUUAAAAUUAGUAGCCUCUCUUUUCAAGUUAACCACUUGCCAUAACCGUAGCGCCGAUUCUAGUCAGUAAGUCAAAAAAGAAUAGUCAAGGUAUAGGCCAAUAGUCUAAGGACAUUUCUGACUAUUAUUAAAAGCUAACUAAGCAGAAACAGCUCAAAGCAAAACGCGAACUGAAAGUAAAAAUGCUUGCUUAUGCAUAAGCCAAGAUACAUUCUUCUUAUCUAAUUGUAGCUACAUAAUAU